ACAAUUCCUAGGAGAAAAAAUCCAAUAUAUGAUAUUAUUAUUAGCAUUAUUUUCAGGGGAUGUAAAGUUUAAAACAUGAAGAAAUAAUUCCUACUAUUAAAAACACAAGUAUUUACUUAUAAAAUUAUAUUUUAUCUCUGGUGACAUACAUGUACAGCAGGCCGAACUGAUUUGAACAACUAUGAAAGAAGGCCACUGUCAUGUACAAUUUAAUGAAAAUCUGCUUCUUAUUUCUGGAUAGACAAGGGGAAAUCAGAAACGAUUACCACGAGCAACUUGACAUUUAAAAAGGGAACAUGUACAUAUUUAAUUAAUUGUGAGACUGCAACACUUAUGGCUUUAAUCAGUGUUGGAAUACAGGAACAAUUAUCAGGAGAAGAAUUGCGAUACAUGGAUACAACUGUUGACUGAGGUCCCACGUGAGCUAGCCUUAUUGAACAACAGCACCGUAUAGCGGUAGCCAACGCUCGGCUGUGGGUGCAGUUUUGAAUAAAUACAAGCUUGUCAGAAGUGACCUUAACCUUUGAUCUAGUGACCCAAAAAUGAGUGUUGCGUUUAGAACUCAUCAAGGUGCAUCUACAUAUGAAGUUUCAAAGUUCGAUGUGGAAGCACUUUGAUUUUAGAACCUAUGUUAAGGUUUUAGCACGACGCAGACAGCGGACAGCUAUGACGAUACCCCGUUUUUUCUCCAAAAACAGCCAAGCUAAAAAUGAACCCAUAUAUGUCCAAUAUAGGCUGUAUAUGGAGAUGUAUACGGACAAUUCCAUAAGGGAAUAACCAGAAACCACCCAUAUGAUCCAAUUAUUAAAGCUCUAACUGUUAAGAAAAAUCUAUUUAAAUGUAUUUAUAAUGUGUAAACAUACUAUGCAUGCUAUUUUUUGUGAGAACAAGGUUAUAACCAAUUUUUUUUACCUCAUAACACUUGUAUAACACACAAGAGUAUAUAAUGUAAGGCCCAUAUGUGAUCCACAUGGGCCCUAUUUGGGUCUAACAAUAUUCCUGAACAAGUGUAUGCCAUUAAAUUGGAAAGACAAAACUUGCAGCAGCACCAAAAACAAGAGGGCCAUGAUGGCCCUGUAUCGCUCCACUGUUUUUUUUAUGCUAAAAAAGCGUGCAAUGCGCAUGGGUUGAAAUGUACUCAAGCAUGUGACUUUCUCUUUCUAUCCCUCGUCCCACUGGGCGCUUAAAGUUGGAAGGGUAAGCAUUUUUAUAUAUGGAAAACGUUACUACGGUGUUAACUAAAUAGACUAAAAAGCCCGGGAAUUGUCGCACAGGUCCUUUGCUUAUAACAUAGGUACAUUUAUCUCUCCAAAAGAUAUUGUCGUUCUCUCUAUUUCACAUAUUUUUAGAUGCUGAAGAUCAAAUCUACGUAUGUUCUACAAGAUUAAUGAAAGUUCAUUCAUUCAAUCAUGAAUCUUUUAACUUGGUAGAGAACUAUAAGAUGUCACAACAUACCAAAUUUGGUAGCCCUAGGCCCAAUGGUUAUGGACAGGAAGAUUUUUAAAGUUUGCACAAAAGAGGCUUUAUAUAAGCAUAUGUUCAGUUUUGUGACCCCCGGGGCAGGGUCAAAUUUGAGGCCAGGGGAAUAAUUUGAACAAAUUUGGUAGAGGACUAUUAGAUGUCACUACAUACCAAAUUUAGUAGCCCUAGGCUCUAUAAUUAUGAACAAGAAGAUAUUUAAAGUUUGCACAAAAUAGGCCUUAUUUAAGCAUAUGUUCAUUUGUGUGACCCCCAGGGCAGGGUCAAAUUUGACCCCAGGGGCAUAAUUUGAAAAAACUUGGUAGUCAGAGAACUUUAAGAUUUUAAUACAUACCAAAUUUGGUAGAAACAGGCCCAAUGGUUAUGGACAAGAAGAUUUUUAAAGUUUGCACAAAAUAGGCCCAAUAUAAGCAUUUGUUCAAUUUUGGCUUAAUUUGAACAAACUUGGUAGAGGACUAUUAGAUGUCUCUACAUACCAAAUUUGGUAGCCCUAUGCCAUACGGUUAUGGACAAGAAGAUUUUUAAAGUUUGCACAAAAUAGGCCCAAUAUAAGCAUUUGUUCAAUUUUGUGACACCUGGGGAACGGUCAAAUUUGAUCCCUUGGGCUUACUUUGAACAAACUUGGUAGAGGACUAUUAGAUGUCACUACAUACCAAAUUUGGUAGCCCUAUGCCAUACAGUUAGGGACAAGAAGAUUUUUAAAGUUUGCACAAAAUAGGCCUUAUUUAACGAAUGUACGUUUUUGCGACCCCAGGGGCAGGGUCAAAUUUACCCUAGGGGCAUAAUUUGAACAAGCUAAGUAGAGAACUAUUAGAUGUCACUACAUACCGAAUUUGGUAGCACUAGGCCCAAUUGUUAUGGACAAGAAGAUUUUUUUAAUUUGCACAAAAUAGGCUUUAUAUAAGCAUAUGUUCAAUUUAUUGACCCCCAGGGCGUGGUCAGGGGCAUAAUUUGAACAAAUUUGAAAGAGGUUCACCCCAGGAACAUUUGUGAGAAGUUUUAUCAGAAUUGGACUUGUAGUUUAGGAGAAGAAGAUGUUUAAAGAAAAAGUUAACACAGACGCACGCACAGACUCAUGCAUGCACGACGGACACAGGACCAUGACAUAAGCCCCGCUGGCCUCUUGCCCGUGGAGCUAAAAACCAAAUUUCAAAGUUUUUAGAAUUUUACAUGCUUAUAACAAAAUGCUUGAUUCUUGAUGUUUUUGCAGUACCAUGUAUAAAUCUGCCAUAUAUACAUGAAUGCAGAUAUUGUGUGCAAAAUACAGUUGCAAACAUGUUGUUUUUUUAUAUUAUGGAAUUCUGUGCUACAUAAUUAUAAAAUGCAUUUAUGAUUGGUUAGUUUAUUUAUUUGGGAAACUUUGUUGGAAUAUGUUGCCAGGAGGAGGUAGACAUGUAAUGCACUGCAAAAAUGUUAAAGGCAUUUCUUGUACAUGUAGUUGGUUUUCAAGAUUAUCUACCACAAAAUUGACAAACUAGACAUGUACAAGAAGCAAUUUUACAAGCAAAAAACCAGAUGCAAAUAGAUAAUUAUGGCAAAAAAAUGGUCAUAAUUCCAAAUGUUAUUGUUCAACUAAUUUGGAAUUAUUGGCAUCUAUUGCUUUCUUUAUAUUGGCAGUUUGGCAGUCAAUGAUAUGGGACGCAUAAAAGACCCACUAACAGCCCAGUGUAACACACAUAGGACCCAGAUGCCGCCUUUAUGAAAAUUAUAUAAGACCUUCCUCUCCAGGAACGAGUUUUAUUGCCAGAAGACGGUUCCCCGAAUCCUCCAGGGCCACUGCUAAGAGGUGACGUGGGUUUUGUUCACAUGAAAUCACAGUGUCAUGCCAAGCUUUCAGCAUUGCAAAGAUACGUUCAUCAAACUGAAACAUAGAUUAUGUCAUACCGUC